rnacentral:rRNA from 1 species
GACGAACGCUGGCGGCGUGCUUAACACAUGCAAGUCGAACGGAAAGGCCCUGCUUUUGUGGGGUGCUCGAGUGGCGAACGGGUGAGUAACACGUGAGUAACCUGUCCUUGACUUUGGGAUAACUUCAGGAAACUGGGGCUAAUCCCGGAUAGGAGCUCCUGCUGCAGGGUGGGGGUUGGAAAGUUUCGGCGGUUGGGGAUGGACUCGCGUCUUAUCAGCUUGGUGGUGGGGUAGUGGCUUACCAAGGCAUUGACGGGUAGCCGAGCUGCGAGGGUGACAGGCCACAUUAGGACUGGGAUACGGCACAGACUCCAACGGUAGGCAGCGGUGGAGAGUAUUACACAAUGGGAGGAAGCCUGAUGCAGUAACGCAGCGUGCGGGAUGACGGCCUUCGGGUUGUAAACCACAUUCGCCUGAGCCGAAGCGUGAGUGACGGUAAUGGGUAAAGAAGCACCGGCUAACUACGUG